rnacentral:lncRNA from 1 species
GCUGCCAUUGUCCCUCCUCCCCCUCCCCCUCUCUCCCUCCUCCUCCUCUCCCCUCCCCUUCCCUCUCCCCUCCCCCUCUCCCCUCCCCUCCCCUCUCUCCCUCUCCCCUCCCCUUCCCCUCCCUCUCCCCUCCCCCUCUUCUUCCCCCUUUCCCUCUCCCCUCCCCCUCCCUCUCCCUCCCUCUCCCUCCUCCUCCUCCCUCUCUCCCUCCCCCUCCCCCUCCCUCUCCCUCCCCCUCCCUCUCCCUCCCUCCCCCUCCCUCUCCCUCCCUCUCCCCUCCCCCUCCCCUCUCUCCCUCCCCUUCUCCCUCCCUCCCCCUCCCUCUCCCCUUCCCUCCUCCCUCCCCCUCUCCCUCCCUCUCUCCCUCCCUCCCCCUCUCCCUCCUCCUCCUCCUCUCCCCCCUCCCUCUCCCUCCCUCUCUCCCUCCUCCUCCUCCCUCUCUCCCUCCCUCCCCUUCCCUCCUCCCUCCCCCUCUCCCUCCCCUUCCCCUCCCUCUCCCCUCCCCUUCCCUCUCUCCCUCCCCCUCUCCCUCCCCCUCUCCCCUCCCCCUCUCUUCCUUCCCUCUCCCUCCCCCUCCCCCUCCCCUCUCUCCCUCCCUCCCCCUCCCUCUCCCCUUCCCUCUCUCCCUCCCUCCCCCUCUCCCCUCCCCCUCUCCCCUCCCCUUCCCUCCUCCUCCCUCCCCCUCUCCCCUCCCCCUCUCCCCUCCCCCUCUCUCCCUCCCUCUCUCCCUCCCUCUCCCUCCCUCUCCCUCCCUCCCCCUCCCUCUCCCUCCUCCUCCUCCCUCUCUCCCUCCCUCCCCCUCCCCCUCCCUCUCCCUCCCUCCCCCUCCCUCUCCCCUCCCCUUCCCUCUCUCCCUCCUCCUCCUCUCCCCUCCCCCUCUCCCUCCUCCUCCUCCCUCUCUCCCUCCCUCUCUCCCUCCCCCUCUCUCCCUCCCUCCCCCUCUCCCUCCCCUCCCCCUCCCCUCUCCCUCCCCUUCCCCCCUUCCCUCCCUCUCCCCUCCCCCUCUUCUUCCCCCUUCCCUCCCUCUCCCUCCCCUUCCCUCUCUCCCUCCCCCUCCCCCCGAGCUUUCUGCCUGAGCACAGGCCCCAUCCAACUGAGGCUGGGUGGCUAACACUCACACAGAAACCUUCGAUCUUACCGGCUGGAGGACCCAGAGAACAACGUUGGAGGCAGCCUGGGGAACUGGCCAGGGCAGGGGAGUCCCAGAAAGGAGGGGGAGCCCCGAAUCUGCGUGUGUGCCCCGCUCAUCUCUCUGCUGCGGACAGAAUGUGCACCCAGCCUGGCCCACAGGGAAGGAGCGGACCUUUCUGUCCCGGCAAACAAACCAUAUCCUUUUCUCCGUGGAUCUCGGCAUUUGUAAGGGGCCCCAAAGUGUCCUGA